rnacentral:lncRNA from 1 species
CACAGACACAUUAACACACACACACAGACAGAUACAGUACAUCACAGAGACACAGUACAUCACACAGACACAUUAACACACACACACAGUACAUCACAGAGAUACACACAGUACAUCACACAGACACAUACAGUACAUCACACAGACACACACAGUACAUCACAGAGAUACAUACAGUACAUCACACAGUACAUCACAGAGAUACAUACAUACAGUACAUCACAGAGAUACACACAGUACAUCACAGAGAUACACACAGUACAUCACAGAGAUACACACAGUACAUCACAGAGAUACACACAGUACAUCACAGAGAUACAUACAGUACAUCACAGAGAUACACACAGUACAUCACACAGUACAUCACAGAGAUACAUACAGUACAUCACAGAGACACACACAGUACAUCACAGAGAUACACACAGUACAUCACAGAGAUACACACAGUACACCACAGAGAUACAUACAGUACAUCACAGAGAUACACACAGUACAUCACAGAGAUACAUACAGUACAUCACAGAGAUACAUACAGUACAUCACAGAGAUACAUACAGUACAUCACAGAGAUACACACAGUACAUCACAGAGACACACACAGUACAUCACAGAGAUACACACAGUACAUCACAGAGAUACAUACAGUACAUCACAGAGAUACACACAGUACAUCACAGAGAUACAUACAGUACAUCACAGAGAUACACACAGUACAUCACAGAGAUACACACAGUACAUCACAGAGAUACAUACAGUACAUCACAGAGAUACACACAGUACAUCACAGAGAUACACACAGUACAUCACAGAGAUACACACAGUACAUCACAGAGAUACACACAGUACAUCACAGAGAUACACACAGUACAUCACAGAGAUACAUACAGUACACCACAGAGAUACAUACAGUACAUCACAGAGAUACAUACAGUACAUCACAGAGAUACACACAGUACAUCACAGAGAUACAUACAGUACAUCACAGAGAUACAUACAGUACAUCACAGAGAUACAUACAGUACAUCACACAGACACAUUAACACACACACACAGUACAUCACAGAGAUACACACAGUGCAUCACACAGACACACACAGUACAUCACAGAGAUACAUACAGUACAUCACACAGUACAUCACAGAGAUACAUACAUACAGUACAUCACAGAGAUACACACAGUACAUCACAGAGACACACACAGUACAUCACAGAGAUACACACAGUACAUCACAGAGAUACACACAGUACACCACAGAGAUACAUACAGUACAUCACAGAGAUACACACAGUACAUCACAGAGAUACAUACAUACAGUACAUCACAGAGAUACACACAGUACAUCACAGAGAUACAUACAGUACAUCACAGAGAUACACACAGUACAUCACAGAGAUACAUACAUACAGUACAUCACAGAGAUACACACAGUACAUCACAGAGACACACACAGUACAUCACAGAGAUACACACAGUACAUCACAGAGAUACACACAGUACAUCACAGAGAUACACACAGUACAUCACAGAGAUACAUACAGUACAUCACAGAGAUACACACAGUACAUCACAGAGUACAUCACAGAGAUACACACAGUACAUCACACAGUACAUCACAGAGAUACACACAGUACAUCACAGAGACACAUACAGUACAUCACAGAGAUACAUACAGUACAUCACAGAGAUACACACAGUACAUCACAGAGAUACACACAGUACAUCACAGAGAUACAUACAGUACAUCACACAGUACAUCACAGAGAUACACACAGUACAUCACAGAGACACACACAGUACAUCACAGAGACACAUACAGUACAUCACAGAGAUACACACAGUACAUCACACAGUACAUCACAGAGAUACACACAGUACAUCACAGAGACACACACAGUACAUCACAGAGACACAUACAGUACAUCACAGAGAUACACACAGUACAUCACACAGUACAUCACAGAGAUACACACAGUACAUCACAGAGAUACACACAGUACAUCACAGAGACACACACAGUACAUCACAGAGAUACACACAGUACAUCACAGAGAUACAUACAGUACAUCACAGAGAUACACACAGUACAUCACAGAGAUACACACAGUACAUCACAGAGACACACACAGUACAUCACAGAGAUACACACAGUACAUCACAGAGAUACACACAGUACAUCACAGAGACACAUACAGUACAUCACAGAGAUACACAGGGUUAGUGGACAGACACACAGGGUUAGUGGACAGACACACAGGGUUAGUGGACAGACACACAGGGUUAGGCGACAGACACACAGGGUUAGGCGACAGACACACAGGGUUAGUGGACAGACACACAGGGUUAGUGGACAGACACACAGGGUUAGUGGACAGACACACAGGGUUAGUGGACAGACACACAGGGUUAGUGGACAGACACACAGGGUUAGUGGACAGACACACAGGGUUAGGCGACAGACACACAGGGUUAGGCGACAGACACACAGGGUUAGUGGACAGACACACAGGGUUAGUGGACAGACACACAGGGUUAGUGGACAGACACACAGGGUUAGUGGACAGACACACAGGGUUAGUGGACAGACACACAGGGUUAGUGGACAGACACACAGGGUUAGUGGACAGACACACAGGGUUAGGCGACAGACACACAGGGUUAGGCGACAGACACACAGGGUUAGUGGACAGACACACAGGGUUAGUGGACAGACACACAGGGUUAGUGGACAGACAUUUAUAGAAACCAAAGAAGUUAUAACAUGUCAGAAUCUAAGUUCACAAUUGGUUUUGAAAUACAUUGAAUUAGCAAAAUGGCAAUUUACUUUACGCUGA